GAUGAACGCUAGCGACAGGCUUAACACAUGCAAGUCGAGGGGCAGCGAGGGCGUAGCAAUACGCCUGUCGGCGACCGGCGCACUGGUGAGUAACACGUAUGCGACCUGCCCCCUACAGGGGUAUAACCCGUAGAAAUGCGGACUAAUCCCCCCAUAGUCCCGCGGGCUGCAUGGCCUGCGGGGAAAGGCCAGCCGGUAGGGGAUGGGGAUGCGUCUGAUUAGCUUGUUGGCGGGGCAACGGCCCACCAAGGCUACGAUCAGUAGGGGUUCUGAGAGGAAAGCCCCCCACAUUGGAACUGAGACACGGUCCAAACUCCUACGGGAGGCAGCAGUGAGGAAUAUUGGUCAAUGGGCGCGAGCCUGAACCAGCCAAGUAGCGUGCAGGAUGACGGCCCUAUGGGUUGUAAACUGCUUUUAUGCGGGGAUAAAGUUGGGGACGCGUCCCUUUUUGCAGGUACCGCAUGAAUAAGGACCGGCUAAUUCCGUG
rnacentral:rRNA from 1 species